GACGAACGCUGGCGGCGUGCCUAAUACAUGCAAGUCGAACGAGAGCGACCGGUGCUUGCACUGGUCAAUCUAGUGGCGAACGGGUGAGUAACACGUGGGUAACCUGCCCAUCAGAGGGGGAUAACAUCCGGAAACGGAUGCUAAAACCGCAUAGGUCUUCGAGCCGCAUGGCUUGAAGAGGAAAAGAGGCGCAAGCUUCUGCUGAUGGAUGGACCCGCGGUGCAUUAGCUAGUUGGUGAGGUAGCGGCUCACCAAGGCCGUGAUGCAUAGCCGACCUGAGAGGGUGAUCGGCCACAUUGGAACUGAGACACGGCCCAAACUCCUACGGGAGGCAGCAGUAGGGAAUCUUCCGCAAUGGACGCAAGUCUGACGGAGCAACGCCGCGUGAGUGAAGAAGGUUUUCGGAUCGUAAAACUCUGUUGUUAGAGAAGAACAAGUGCUAGAGUAACUGUUAGCGCCUUGACGGUACCUAACCAGAAAGCCACGGCUAACUACGUG
rnacentral:rRNA from 1 species